rnacentral:sRNA from 1 species
UGAGGGUUGGUUCAUCACUCAGGGACUGUCCUUCCCAAAGCCAUGCCCUUCAUCAAAGGGAAUGACCUUCCCAGACAGGGGAGGCCAGGAUUGAAUUGUAACUACUAUCCCCUGCUGCCACAUCCAAGCAAGUAAUCAAAAUCCAUUUGAGGGAAAGUAUGGGAAUAUGGGUUUCUGUUCCUCCCUCAGGCAUCAGUGCCCUGAUACUAGGCUGCCCUGUGU